AUCGAUAUCAGAUUAAGUUCAAAACUUGGGGAACAUCAUAAUAUUUUGGGAGGAGUCAUUUGGUGGGUUUUGAGUGAAAUACAAUCCUUAGAACUAUACAAUACACCAGCCACUCCAUUUCAGAACGAACUUCGUACGAACCUGAAUUGUCCGAUUUCAAGGACCAAUCGAUAUCGGAUUGAGUCCAAAACUUGGGGAACAUCAUAAUAUUGUGGGAGUAGUCAUUUGGUGGGUUUUUAGUGAAAUCCAAUCUCUAGAACAAUACAAUACACCAAUCACCCCAUUUCAGAACGAACUUCGUACGAACCUGAAUUGUCCGAUUUCAAGGACCAAUCGAUACCGGAUUAAGUCCAAAACUUGGGGAACAUCAUAAUAUUGUGGGAGUUGUCAUUUGAUGGGUUUUGAGUGAAAUCCAAUCCCUAGAACCAUACAACACACCAAUCACACCAUUUCGGAACGAACUUCGUACGAACCUGAAUUGUCCGAUUUCAAGGACCAAUCGAUAUCGGAUUGAGUCCAAAACUUGGGGAACAUCAUAAUAUUGUGGUAGUAGUCAUUUGAUGGGUUUUGAGAGAAAUCCAAUCUCUAGAACUAUACAACACACCAACCACCCCAUUUCGGAACGAACUUCGUACGAACCUGAAUUGUCCGAUUUCAAGGACCAGUCGAUAUCGGAUUGAGUCCAAAACUUGGGGAACAUCAUAAU
rnacentral:lncRNA from 1 species